rnacentral:rRNA from 1 species
AGAGCGAACGCUGGCGGCAGGCUUAACACAUGCAAGUCGAGCGGAUGUAGCAAUACAUCAGCGGCAGACGGGAUAGUAACACGUGGGAACGCGCCCUUUGGUUCGGAAUAACUCAGGGAAACUUGAGCUAAUACCGGAUAAGCCCUUACGGGGAAAGAUUUAUCGCCAUUGGAACGGCCCGCGUCCGAUUAGCUAGUUGGUGAGGUAAUGGCUCACCAAGGCGACGAUCGGUAGCUGGUCUGAGAGGAUGACCAGCAUCACUGGGACUGAGACACGGCCCAGACUCCUACGGGAGGCAGCAGUGGGGAAUAUUGGACAAUGGGCGCAAGCCUGAUCCAGCCAUGCCGCGUGGAUGAUGAAGGCCCUAGGUUGUAAAGUCCUUUAACGGGAGAUAAUGACGGUACCCGUAGAAUAAGCCCGGCUAACUUCGUGCCAGCAGCCGC